rnacentral:miRNA from 1 species
GCAUUAACCCUGUUGUCUUAGAU